GAUGAACGCUGGCGGCGUGCCUAAUACAUGCAAGUCGAGCGAACAGACGAGGAGCGUGCGCCUCUGACGGUGGCGGCGGACGGGUGAGUAACACGUGGAUAACCUACCUAUAAGACGGGGAGAACUUCGGGAAACCGGAGCUAAUACCGGAUAAUAUAUUGAACCGCAGGGUUCAAUAGUGAAAGACGGUUUUGCUGUCACUUAGAGAUGGAUCCGCGCCGCAUUAGCUAGUUGGUAAGGUAACGGCUUACCAAGGCAACGAUGCGUAGCCGACCGGAGGGGGUGAUCCGCCCCCCCGGAACUGAGGAACGGUCCCGACUCCUACGGGAGGCCGCAGUAGGGAAUCUUCCGACAUGGGCGGCAGCCUUACGCCGCCAAGCCGGGUGAGUUAUGGAGGUCUUCGGAUCGUUAAACUCUGUUUUUAGGGAAAAAAAAAUGUGUAAUUAACUAUGCGCGGCUUGACGGUACCUAAUAAGAAAGCCACGGCUAACUACGUG
rnacentral:rRNA from 1 species